ensembl:misc_RNA 7SK 7SK RNA
AGAUGUGAGGGUGAUCUGGCUGUGAUAUCUCUUAACUCAACAUGAGUUGAUUUGUCUGAUCUGGCUGGCUGAUAGGGUGUUCUAUCCUCCCUCACCACUCCUUCCUAAAAUUGUGUACUCAUUCAAAGAGGACAAACUUUCCUGAUUAAGGAGGAACAUAUUUUGUCCACGGGUACAUAAGGUUAUACUGGAACCACCAAAAAAGUUCUCACAAACACCCUUCAAGUUGAUCCAUAAUAUUAUACAUGAUAUAAAUCUCAGUAUUCUCCUUGACACCGUGAACACUG